rnacentral:rRNA from 1 species
CGCAUCUGUGCAUGCAGCAUAUCAAUAAGCGGAGGAAAAGAAACUAACAAGGAUUCCCCUAGUAACGGCGAGUGAAGCGGGAAGAGCUCAAAUUUGAAAUCUUAAAGGGUUUCCCUUUACGAAUUGUAGUUUAAAGAAGUGUUUUCUGUUGAGGUUUUGGUAAAAGUUCUUUGGAAUAGGACAUCAUAGAGGGUGAGAAUCCCGUAUUUGACCUUUACUUUCAACUUUGUGAUACACUUUCAAAGAGUCGGAUUGUUUGGGAAUGCAGUCCAAAAUGGGUGGUAAAUCUCAUCUAAAGCUAAAUAUUGGCGAGAGACCGAUAGCGAACAAGUACCGUGAGGGAAAGAUGAAAAGAACUUUGAAAAGAGAGUUAAACAGUACGUGAAAUUGUCAAAAGGGAAGCGUUUGACACCAGUGUUGUUUUUCUGAAAAUCAAUUAAAGAACUGUUUAUGCUAAGUUGUUUAGACUUUAUCAGCUAUCUGCUUAGUUUUGAGCUUUUCUUUAAUGCACUUUUCAGUUAACAAGUCAACAUCAAUUUCUUUUGCUGUAAAAAAGCUUGAGGAAGGUGGCUUGAGAUUCGUCUUAAGUGUUUAUAGCCUCUUGCCUAUGCAGUCGGAGAGAUUGAGGUCUGCAGCGUAGAUCCUCCGGGGCUAAAUGCAUUUGUGCUAAGUUAUAGCAUUUUAUAGACAACUUGUUGACUAUGAUUUGUCUUGUAGCUUACUCGCUUAUGUUAUUUUACCUACGCUUAGGAUGUUGAAUCUGUGCGAGACUAC